UGGGGGAUAUUGCACAAUGGGCGAAAGCCUGAUGCAGCGACGCCGCGUGGGGGAUGAAGGCCUUCGGGUUGUAAACUUCUUUUGCUCUGAACAAGGCGCACCAUGGGGUGUGUUGAGUGUAGGGGUUGAUUAGCGCCGGCUAACUACGUGCCAGCAGCCGCGGUAAUACGUAGGGCGCGAGCGUUGUCCGGAAUUAUUGGGCGUAAUGGGCUUGUAGGUGGCUGGUUGCGUCUGUCGUGAAAGCUCAUGGCUUAACUGUGGGUUUGCGGUGGGUACGGGCUGGCUUGGGUGCGGUAGGGGAGGCUGGAAUUCCUGGUGUAGCGGUGGAAUGCGCAGAUAUCAGGAGGAAUACCGGUGGCGAAGGCGGGUCUCUGGGCUGUUACUGACACUGAGGAGCGAAAGCAUGGGGAGCGAACAGG
rnacentral:rRNA from 1 species